rnacentral:rRNA from 1 species
UACGUAGGGACCAAGCGUUGUUCGGAUUUACUGGGCGUAAAGGGCGCGUAGGCGGCGUGUUAAGUCAGCUGUGAAAUCUCCAAGCUUAACUUGGAACGGUCAGCUGAUACUGAUGUGCUAGAGUGCAGAAGGGGCAAUCGGAAUUCUUGGUGUAGCGGUGAAAUGCGUAGAUAUCAGGAGGAACACCGGUGGCGAAGGCGGAUUUCUGGACCAGUUCUGACACUGAUGAGCGAAAGCCAGGGGAGCAAACAGG